CCUACGGGUGGCAGCAGUGAGGAAUAUUGGUCAAUGGGCGCGAGCCUGAACCAGCCAAGUCGCGUGAGGGAAGACGGCCCUACGGGUUGUAAACCUCUUUUGCCGGGGCGCAACGGGCGCCACGUGUGGCGCCACUGAGAGUACCCGGAGAAAAAGCAUCGGCUAACUCCGUGCCAGCAGCCGCGGUAAUACGGAGGAUGCGAGGGUUAUCCGGAUUUAUUGGGUUUCAAGGGUGCGUAGGCGGAGCGUUAAGUCAGUGGUAAAAUUGAGGGGAUCAACACCUUCCCGCCAUUGAAACUGGCGCUCUUGAGUGGAAGAGAAGUAUGCGGAAUGCGUGGUGUAGCGGUGAAAUGCAUAGAUAUCGCGCAGAACCCCGAUUGCGAAGGCAGCAUGCCGGCUUCCUACUGACGCUGAAGCACGAAAGCGUGGGGAUCGAACAGGAUUAGAUACCCGAGUAGUC
rnacentral:rRNA from 1 species